rnacentral:rRNA from 1 species
GACGAACGCUGGCGGCGUGCCUAAUACAUGCAAGUCGAGCGAAGCGGCGGAUGAGUGAGUAACGCGUGGGUAACCCGCCCUUAAGGCUGGGAUACUGUUUGGAAACAGAUGCUACUAACGGAUACUAAAGGACGGACCUGCGAUGCAUUCGCUAGUUGGUAAGGUAACGGCUCACCAAGGCGAGGAUGCAUAGCCGAGUUGAGAGACGGAUCGGCCACAGUGGGACUGAGACACGGCCCAUACUCCUACGGGAGGCAGCAGUAGGGAAUCUUCCACAAUGGACGAAAGUCUGAUCGAGCAACGCCGCGUGAGUGAAGAAGGUUUUCGGAUCGUAAAGCUCUGUUGUUGGUGAAGCGGUAAUCAACCAGAAAGUCACGGCUAACUACGUGCCAGCAGCCGCGGUAAUAC